rnacentral:rRNA from 1 species
AUGCUGACAGCAAACAUACAAUUUUUUGUCAGAUCAUUAUACCACUCCCUGACCAAAACUGAGGUGGGAUUCCCACAUAAAUUCCUCUGGAAGAUUAAAAUACCAGUAAAAAUUAAAAUGUUCUUUUGGCUUAUUGCAAGAAAGAGUGUGCUAACCAAAGACAAUCUAAUUAAAAAAAGGUGGCGAGGGAGGCAGGGCUGCGUAUACUGUGGACAGGAUGAAACCAUAGAUCAUCAGUUUUUCAUUUGUUCUCCUGCUAGACUUCUCUGGAGUCUGAUAAAAUAUUCAUCUAAUCUGAAAGCAAUCCCAAAUGGCCUAGAUGACUAUUUGGGAACUUGGAUCAGAAGUUUUGUUAAGAUAGAGAAAAAAAUUGUUUUGGUUCGAAUAUCUGCCUUGUUCUGGUCCAUAUGGAAAUGGAGAAAUGACAUUAUUUUUCGAGAUAAGAAGAUUAAUGAUCCUAUGACGCUGAUAAAACUCACAUGCAAUUGGAUCAUGGAUUGGUCUGUUUUGCAGAGGAAACCCCAGAACAAAGGCUACUGA